AACAGUUUGUUUUUUGUUUUG
rnacentral:miRNA from 1 species